ACCGGAAGUUCCUUAUUUGGACUUCCUCGCUAUGUGCGGCUUGACGGCGCGGCGGGCUUUGCGGAAGUGCUUUCAUCCUGCGGGAGGAGAAGAAGAAGAAGAGGCUGCUCCUUCGUCUCCACAGCAAACCGUCCGCGGAGGACCCUUCGGAGCCCGGGAACCCCACAGCAGCAGCCCCUCCGCCGGCCUCCGGGACCCACGGGCGAUGGCGAGGCCGAGCCACAGCGAUCACGUCCUCCAGCAACUCAACAACCAGCGCGAGUGGGGCUUCCUGUGCGACUGUCUCAUCGCCAUCGGCGACAUCUACUUCCGGGCUCACAAGGCGGUGCUGGCGGCCUGCAGCUCCUACUUCAGGAUGAUGUUCAUCCGGGACCAGCAGGGGGCGGGCCGCCUGGACCUGAGUAACAUGCAGAUCAGUGCUGAGUGCUUCGACCUCAUCCUGCAGCUCAUGUACCUCGGGCGCAUCGUCGUGGGCAGUUAUGAGUUUGAGGAGCUGAAAGCGUCCAUGGCAUACCUGCAGAUGUACUACAUCCCCGACUCGCUGGAGGACCUCAGGGACAUCAGGAGCUCCAAUAUCACGCCGUCCUCCUCUGCCUCCUCCUCCUCAUCCAGCUCCUCCGCUGGGCCUGCUGGCGGGAAGAUGAUGUUUGGUGUGCGCAUGUACGAGCAGCAGCGGCCCGCGGCACCUGAAGGGGAGCGUCUGCCGAAGGCCGUCACGAGCAGCACGGGGCGUCCGGCCGUUCCUGCUGCAGUUGGCAGGCCAGCCACGACUGAAGAGGCGGCAACCACUCCUCUGAUUGUGGCGGCGCCAGUUUCAGACGGAGCAGGUGAGCAGCCGUGUGACCUGAGGAAGCGGUCGGGUGGCAGGAGUUCAACUCUCAAGGACCGCCCUAGGUUCGGUCGCACGUACACCUGUGAUGACUGUGGCUUCGUGUUCAGCUGCGAGAAGCUUCUAAUCGAGCAUAUCCUCACCUGUACCAACCGCAAAGCCUUCCACCCACCCCGAGGCAACACUGAGGGUGACAACGACUCAAGUAAAGCAGAGAGCUCCGCCUCAGAGAGCGUGGAGGAGCACCGGGUCAUCUGUAAAGGCGAGGACGACUGGCCUGAGGCCAAGACUGCCCGGUCAGUCCCAGGCGGACCAGACGGCGAGGCUGGGUCCACCAGGAGCAUCAAGACCGAACCAGAAGAGAGCAUGUUCCCUGAGAUUGAGGUGGUCCGUGUCGGCGAGCACGCCGCCAGAGAUUUUAGUGCACGCUUUGGUGACCCAGCGCUGAGGGAGAAGACGCCAUCGGACCGCGAGCCCGAGCCCGGUGUCUCCGGUUUGGAAAACAGCAGCGAGCCUUUCGAAGGCAACGAUUCCGGCAUCCCCGCCAAGCUCCGGAAGGUCAAAGACGAGAAGCAGGAUGCUGAUGGCACGCCCUGCGAGGUGUGCGGCGCUCUGUUAUUGGAGGAGGACAAGUCCGCGCACUACCUGUCUAACCACAUGGGGCACAUAUGUGCCUGCGGCAGGUGCGGCCAGGUGUUGAUCAAAGGCCGGCAGCUGCAGGAGCACGCCGAGCGCUGCGGUGAAUCCCACGGAGCCGAGUCGGACUCCCAUGGCGAGGAUGAGGCGUCCCUGCUGGAGGAGCCGCACGGGAUGGAGGAGGGGCUACUGGAGGCGGCCGACCUGGCGUGCCCGCACUGCGGCCUGCUGUUCCAGAACGAGAGCCUAGCGCUGGAGCACGCUCUAUCCUGCCACGACCAGGAGCUGUUCCGGCCCACCAUGCUGGAGGAAGGCGGCGAGCCCGACCACCGCCGCAAACACUUCUGCAGCAUCUGCGGCAAAGGCUUCUACCAGCGCUGCCACCUGCGUGAGCACUACACCGUCCACACCAAGGAAAAGCAGUUCACCUGCCAGACCUGUGGCAAGCAGUUCCUGCGUGAGCGCCAACUCCGCCUCCACACUGACAUGCAUAAAGGUAUGGCGCGCUACGUGUGCCCCGUGUGCGACCAGGGGACCUUCCUCAAACAUGACCAUGUGCGUCACAUGAUCUCCCACCUGUCAGCUGGGGAAACCAUCUGCCAGGUGUGCUUCCAGAUCUUCCCGGGUGGCGAACAGCUGGAGAAGCACAUGGACGUCCACCUGUACAUCUGUGGCGUGUGCGGUGAGAAGUUCCGCCUGCGCAAAGACAUGCGGAGCCACUAUAACUCCAAACACACCAAGAGACUAUAACGGCGCCGGCGCCGCUGCCGCGUCCACAAGUCUGUUACUAAGAAGCCAUAAAUGUGAGAACAAAGAAUGCACUUGAACACCAAAAAGACUGAACUGCACUUUGAAGCCGUAUGCAAACUAACCAGGCGUCACACUGCGAGUGGCGAGCUGCGGGUCCAGUAGCGCCUUAGUGACUUCUGUCCGCUCGAGGCUUUGCGCAACAGGAAGCUGGUGGGUUGGUAGAUACGUGAGGCACACCUGAGGCAGGAAGCCUCGUGUUAGAAUAAAUAGCAAACAGCAUGCCGCCUAGAAGCAGACUGCUAGGUGUCGGUACAUGGAGAGUGGGAGGUGGGCGGUGGCACACAGGCUCCACCUACAGCCUGCCUCUCUCCAUGACGAUGGUAUAGUCACCGUGCGUGACAGGAUGGUUCUGUCUGCCAUAUUGGAGCUGAACUUGGUGGUGAAAGAGGCAGACCUUUUUCUGGAGGGAGGGGUGUGUUUGUUUUAUAACACCAGACAAAGCAAUGCAAGCUGUUUAGAGCGUGAACAGUUGUUUUAUCCUCCAAUUCAGUUGAACUUCAUUAUACGCAAACACUUAUUAUACGGCACACAGUCACAACAGCAGUCGCCUUGUGGCACUCUGUGAGAUUAACCCCUGAGAAAAUUAAAAGGCCAAAACGAGCCGCCCAACGAAUUACAUGCCAGGAAACAAAGAUUACAAAUAAUUGAACCCAUAGUAAAAUCUGAUUGGUCGCACAGAGGUCACGUUUCCUGUUGUUCUUUUUUUAAAUGUUUAAAUAUGAGCUGAAACUCAAAACUGCCCUUGCGUGAUUUUCAGAGCAAUGAGGCGCUAUGCUGCCUUAAAUUCCAACUCACAGAGUGCACGGUUCAAAUCGCGGCCUCAAACCGAUGUGGUCAUGUGGCCUUCUCUGAGCUUUAAUCACAUCUCAGGUCCAAAAGUAAUGCACAGAAACCCACCAGUCAGAUGACCAGAUGAAACUGGCCCCGUCACAGGCCGGUGUGAGCUGUGGUGGUUCCACAGAUUUCUGAGCUUCUGUUUUAAAACGUUACCUGAAACUGGCUGCAGGUCAGGACGCAGCUGCUCUGUUUUCUAAACAAACCAUGAAGGCGACGCGCCGUCAGCUGGUACCUGCACGGCCAAUCACGCUCUCAGCUGACGCGCUGAUCGUUUUUAUAGUUUUUAUUAAGUUAUAAUCGCAUGUAUGAUAUUGUCUGACAGCUGUGAUGGCCAGUCAGCUGCUCGUAUCAAAGAGCAGGAAUCUCGCAGUCGCGUAGAGGAGGCACCACCCUCCACUCCACCCGUUACAGCUCAGGUCUGAACGAGUCGACCGUAGCGUUUCCGUCCAGUGGGCCAAGCGGAGGACUUGCAGACCUCCACAGAUCGUAGAGUUCAGGUUCAGCACGCGCACGCUCCGCUGAUGUCAUCACAACCUAAAAAUGUUAUACUGACUGAUUAAAACGAGUCAGUCGAAGCUCCGCCCACGCCCACGGUCGGCGCUCGUGCUGCUCGCAGUGUGAUCUCCAGAGGAAGUACAAAUUAGUAUGUCUGCUGAAACGGCGCCCCCUGUGGCCUGCGUGGAGAGAACUUCCUGUUUGCGAGGGUGCGCUCCCUCAUGCUUGGAUGUUUCCCAAAAUACUAAAGCCUGUUACGACUUCCUUGCUCUGUCAUCGUCCCACGCGCUCUGUGAUUGGUGCCUUUACUGUAACACUCCGUCCCUUCUGUCAAACUCACGGCGAUGUGUGAGGGGCGGGCCAGCACGGAAGGUCACAACUGCCCUCAGACUGAACCGGCCAAUGAAAAAUCCAACAACUAAACACUAGAAACAGUCACCUCGACUCUUACCCUCAGACUUCCUGUGAUGCCUUACGAGUCUCUCGAAGUGUUCACUCGCCAUCGCGGCGCCAGCAGUACGGGAUCGGACCAGAUCCAGCUGCUCAGAACCAACCAGUCGUUACAGGCUUGACUAAAUUAGACUAUCAGAACCAAUCAGAAUGAGCUCCACGAAAUGAUUCUGCGGCUGCUCGGACAAUCAGCCCUUACCCCCUCGUCUUCUCAUUGGCUCACAGUGAGACUGUUUCCUGUGGACUAAGACCUGAAACCAAACAAACUCCAGCUGAACUCAAACUAAUUCAACUUUCACCUAAUCAGCACUAACAGAAGUCAGGGACCCGCCCCUUUAACGCCUCACCAGUUCAGACCAGUUUAAGCUGGCUCAGGUCGGGACCGUGUGGAUCUGACCAAGGUGGCGGGUCCACCGGGUGACCCCAGAUGUAAAUGAAUGUCGUCUUAAGUAAAGCUAACGAUGUCAGCUGUUUGUUCUUCUUCUUGGAUUGUUUUUCUGUUUGUGACCACGACUCUUAAUAAACCGAGUGAACCUGAGUGUGGGUGGAGCCUUUGUUUCCAUCCCACAGAGGAUGAAGGCUCAGUGUUACUUACUCACAGCCAGCUCUCUUCACCACCUCCUCCACCUCAAGCUGCAGCUUCAUCUUUUCUCUGCUUCAUGAAGUUUUUAAUGUCAGGCCUGAGGGAGGAUCAGCUGAUCGAUCAGCUGAUGUUUGGACUGAUGCUCACAUUUUUCACAGAGAUCACCUGCAGCUGUUUCUUCUGUGGUUUCCUGACAGGAUACCAUAGAAGAAGCAGCUGUUAUUGAUUAUUGGUUUGUCAACGGUGAUCGUUUCUGACUGAAGGUCAGCGGGAAACAGGUCCGGUGUUUGUGUUUAAACGGUCCACAUAAAUGUUUUUCAGUCACAUGGGCUCAGAGAUUCAGCUGACCUUCCUAUUUGAUUGGAAUAUAAUCACUCUCAUUUUGAAGGUUUUUAUUGAUGUUGAUCAUGCAACCUCAGCACUUCCUGUGUUUCAAAUUGAGUGUUUAGUGAGGCUUUCAUUUUGAAAUAUUUCCAGGAAACUGCAUCUCACUCAGAAAUACUUGUUUUAAUUUUUCUAAAGAUUCUGAAGAUGAGACAUUAAAAUAACGUUUGAUCAGAAUGUCAUCAACAAGAGGCCGCAGAUGUCCAUCUCCACCAUCAGAUCACCUUUGAAUCUGAAAAUGUUAAAUCCAGACUGUCUCUGUUUGCAUUAAAAUAUCCACAAGAAGAGGGUCUGUAAUGUUCCACUGCAGCACAGGUGUCAAACUCCAGUCCUCAACAUCAGCCUCACAGCUUCCUGUAAAGCACAGGUGUCAAACUCGAGGGCCGAUGUCCUGAAAGUUUUCCAUGUGUCCCUGCGACACACCUGAUUAAAAUUAGUAGGUUAUUAGCAAGCCUUGACUGCAUGCUGAGGUGGCAACCCCCAACCCUACUCAAGUUAAUUUAAAUCAGGGGUCUCCAAUUCCUGGCCUCGAGGGCCAGUGUCCUGCAGAUUUUAGAUAUCACCCUGGGUCAACACACCUGAAUCAAAUGAUUAGUUCAUUACCAGGCCUUUGGAAAACUACAAGAAAUAUUGAGGAGGUAAUUUCGCCAUUUGAAUCAGCUGUGUUGUGUUAAGGAAACAUCUAAAACCUGCAGGACACCGGCCCUCGAGGCCUGGAGUUGGAGACCCCUGAUUUAAAUAAAUCAGGGACACAUUUAAAAGUUUCAGGACACUGGCCCUCGAGUUUGACACCUGCGCUCUACAGGAAGCUGUGAGGCUGAUGCCGCCGGUCACACUUUAUGAAAAAUUGUGGUUCAGCGUCUGUCCACACGGGGGAGCUGCAGGAGGACUGAUAGACUGAAGAUCUGCUUUGUGGGCUGGACCUCUGCAGACACCAGAAUGAAAGCAGAACCUGCAUUUUGACUCUCACAGUGCCUCCCUGAGGUUUGACUGAGUCACAAUAGUUUAUGAUCCAGCUGCAUGUUGGAGGUCAAAGGUCAGCUGCUGGCUGUGAGAGGUCAGGUCUUUGGGUCAGUCUGAAUGUGACAAACACACUGCGUCACUUGCUGAGGAGUCGAGUCCUUUUUAAUAACUCUUUGGCCCACGAGUCCCAGAUCAGUUCCAGACGCUAGCCCUCGAGCAGAGAGGGUUGGUGGUCUGUGCUGUGGCUCAAGUGCAGGUUGAGAUCACAAGAAGACCUGCGAACUGCUGACGUUACACGUGUAUGACGAUGUGAAGAGAAGGAAGCUGAAUGCAGAGGUGGCGCUCUCCGCCUCUGCCGCCGGGCCAUGUUACACCACAGUUCAAGAGGUGGGCGAUGAACGUGUCACAGGUGCAACUCACCUGACCUGACUACACCUGAGUGUGUGGUCAGGUGAGUCUGAGGAGGACCUGUGUCCGUCACAUGUCUGCUGGGACUCUGCAGACACACACGUGUUGAUGCAGAUGUAAAAACCUCGAUGUUUGGAAAUGCUGAGCUGGAUUUGAUACAAACCUUCUGCUGUUUUUAUUUUUGUUUUAUUCUCUAUUUUCUGUAACAGAAUGAAAUAAAUCAGGUUACAUUGUU